rnacentral:rRNA from 1 species
UUCUUCGGAGAGUUUGAUCCUGGCUCAGGAUGAACGCUGGCGGCGUGCCUAAUACAUGCAAGUCGAGCGAACUGAUUAGAAGCUUGCUUCUAUGACGUUAGCGGCGGACGGGUGAGUAACACGUGGGCAACCUGCCUGUAAGACUGGGAUA